rnacentral:lncRNA from 1 species
CCAAAUAUAAAUACUAAAAAUUUUACAAUAGCAUUACAAUUUAAAGUGAAUUCAUUAAACUAAAAGCUAUAGCAUCUCUUGUUAAUUCCAUUUCAAAACCACUUGAAUUGUUUGAUUCACCAUCAUCAUCACCAUCAUCGUCGUCGUCAUCAUUAUCACUUUCUCGACCAUGCGCAUUUUCUGAAUCAAUAAUAUUCUCAUAUGCCCUGUUAAUAUCUUCGUAUUCCAUAAAAUCUGCAUCAUUUCGACUGACAUGUUUUUGGAUAAAAUUGUGUAUCGUCAUUGUAGCAACAACGAUCAUCGUUUGCUUUUCAAAACAAUAACUUGGCAUAUCCCUUAAAAUGACCCAUUUUUUUUAAAACACCAAAAUUCGUUCAAUCACACUACGUAAUGAUGAAUGUGAAUGAUUGAAUAUCUCUUCUUUACCAGAUACUGGUCUACCUCUACGAAAGUCAGGUAAAUGAUAUCGCUGACCUCUAUAUGGUCCAAGAUAACAUUUCAUUUGAGGAUAUCCAGAAUCAAAAAGAUAAUAUUUUCC